UUUUAUUUGAGAGUUUGAUCCUGGCUCAGGAUGAACGCUGGCGGCGUGCCUAACACAUGCAAGUUGAGCGAUUUACUUCGGUAAAGAGCGGCGGACGGGUGAGUAACGCGUGGGUAACCUACCCUGUACACACGGAUAACAUACCGAAAGGUAUGCUAAUACGGGAUAAUAUAUUUGAGAGGCAUCUCUUGAAUAUCAAAGGUGAGCCAGUACAGGAUGGACCCGCGUCUGAUUAGCUAGUUGGUAAGGUAACGGCUUACCAAGGCGACGAUCAGUAGCCGACCUGAGAGGGUGAUCGGCCACAUUGGAACUGAGACACGGUCCAAACUCCUACGGGAGGCAGCAGUGUGGAAUAUUGCACAAU
rnacentral:rRNA from 1 species